rnacentral:rRNA from 1 species
UACGGAGGGGGCUAGCGUUGUUCGGAAUUACUGGGCGUAAAGCGCACGUAGGCGGCUUUGUAAGUUGGAGGUGAAAGCCCGGAGCUCAACUCCGGAAUUGCCUUUAAGACUGCAUCGCUAGAAUUGUGGAGAGGUGAGUGGAAUUCCGAGUGUAGAGGUGAAAUUCGUAGAUAUUCGGAAGAACACCAGUGGCGAAGGCGACUCACUGGACACAUAUUGACGCUGAGGUGCGAAAGCGUGGGGAGCAAACAGG